UACGUAGGGUGCGAGCGUUAAUCGGAAUUACUGGGCGUAAAGCGUGCGCAGGCGGUUUGUAAGCCAGGUGUGAAAUCCCCGGGCUUAACCUGGGAAUGGCAUUUGGGACUGCAAGGCUUGAGUGCGGCAGAGGAGACUUGGGAAUUCCUGGUGUAGCAGUGAAAUGCGUAGAUAUCAGGAGGAACACCGAUGGGCGAAGGCAGGU
rnacentral:rRNA from 1 species